AUUAAAUAUUGCGACUAUAGUUCUUACUUGAUAACUGUUUGGUUGUACAUAAUUUGACUAUGUUAAAGAUAAAUCCUUUUUUUUUUUAUUUAGACAGAAAAGAGGAGAUGAUGGGGAUGUCUCCUGUAUAUGUUUGUCCUAUUGGUUGAUGACUGAAGCACUGUUGGCCAGUAGGGAAGCAAGAUAGGUGGGACUAAGAGAUGAGGAGGAUUCUGAAAAAUGUAGGCAGAGGAGUCACCAUGUAGGAUGCAAGAGGAAUAACAGGUCCAGACCUCUUCUCCGGACACACAGACAGCAAGAUGGAUGUUUGGAGCAGAGGUACUCUAUGUGGAUCAGAAGCCCACUGUCUUUGCCCCAUUUGAUAAUGCUUCCAGGUUGUUUCCUAAGUCCCCAGAUCUUGGUUACACAUAAGGACUUUUAUCUUUCUGUGAAGAACUAUGUCAAGACCAAAAGUUAUACCACAGAUAAUGAAAGAUGUAAUCUUUAUCCCUUAUUAACACUUGAUUAGCAAUUGAGGUUAGACAUUAUCUGUAUUUCGGAUGAAUAUAAAAGUUAAAACAUGCAUUGCGUUAAAAUAUUUGUGUUGUGUGCUAUGUUGUAUAUAUGUCAGUCCUUUCCUUCUAAGUUUCAUGCCAGGCAUUGAAAUCAGGUCAUCAGGCUUUCAAAUCAAAAUGCCUUUACCCACUGAUUACAGGGCCACUUUGGAACCAUAAAUAGUUUAACAUCACCUUGCAAACACCGUUGACCAUUUAAAGUCUUGGCAUCAUUGUAAACAGCAUAGACAUGUAAAAAUACAACCUACACUCAGUGGAAUUAUCUACUUAAAGAUUUUAGCCAUGUAGUACAAGGGUUGUCAUAUUUGCCUCACUACCUGUUUCAAUACAGGUUUCCAGACAUGAAACUGUUCCUUUGUUUACAUGUUAUCCCUAACUAGUUUCAAGUGAUGAUGACAAAGCUGAUAAGUAGGAUGGAAAUCAAUACGUAGAGAACAGAAAGAUUCAUUCUUUCAUCUGGUACAGAGAAUGUUUGCUAUUCUUUAGCACCACAUUUCAAGAUGGUCAGAUUUUUUUUUAAAUGUAUCGUACAAAGUAUUCUGUUUGUCAGCAUUAAUAUUCUAUGUUGUACUAUAUGAUCACCUAUUUCAGGGGAUGGUUUCCCCAUACAUGGAGAUCAUUCUCCUAUUAAGCUUCUCAAAUAAGUAAUAAAUGACUCCAAAUGAUCUGAAAACUCAUUCUAUGACAGUGAAUUUGCCUAUGAUUUUAUAGGAAUCAUAUAUGUUAACUAUAGCAGUGUGAGGCCACUGGUCAUACCUCACUAUUUGUGGCAUCACUUAGGCUUAUGGUCUCUAUGUAACUUUCUACAGGUCACAUAGACUUGCAGCUUAAUUAUGUUUGAUGUCAAAGUUCUAGCUUUUUACCUGAGUACUAUAUAUUAUAUAUUUAUGUGUUUUGAAAAGCUAAGCAGAUUGAAUUUCC
rnacentral:lncRNA from 1 species